rnacentral:rRNA from 1 species
AAACUUUACAAUGCUGGAAACAGCGAUAAGGGGACCUCGAGUGCCGAGAUACAAUCUCGGCUGUCUAGUUGCCUAAAAAGCAAUUGAUAGCAAGGGCCGGGCAAGACCGGUGCCAGCCGCCGCGGUAACACCGGCGGCUCGAGUGGUAACCGCUAUUAUUGGGUCUAAAGGGUCUGUAGCCGGCCUGGUUAGUCCCUUGGGAAAUCUGGCUGCUCAACAGUCAGGCUUUCAGGGGAUACUGCUAGGCUCGAGACCGGGAGAGGUGAGAGGUACUUCAGGGGUAGGGGUGAAAUCUUGUAAUCCUUGAAGGACCACCAGUGGCGAAGGCGUCUCACCAGAACGGAUCUGACGGCAAGGGACGAAAGCUAGGGGCACGAACCGG